CAGCAGUCUAGAGCUGAUGGAGCUAUUACAUCAAUUCCUACUACUAGGAGAGCUCUGUCAUUGUACUUGUAAACCGUCAUAUUUGCUAUUUUGUAAAAAUAAUAGCUUCGGACAGAAAGCGUUGUGAGCUUCGAUGGCAACGGCAAUGGAAGUUUGUCGUUGCCGGUCUGUGUUAAGAAACGUGGAUUUCAGAACCCAAAAUCCAAACAACGGCAUGCGUCCAGCCGCAGAGGUUAGGAAUUUCAGAAAUUAGUGCUUGAACGACGCCGCUUCUUCGCCUUCGCGCUCUCUCUCCUCUAUAAAAAAAACUUAACCCGAGGUCCCUAACCACGACUAUUCCUAUGCCCUUUUAUCCGCCAGUUUCAAGGCCUCCCUUUCUUUGAUUAAAUAUUGAUUGUUACUUGGAUCUAUUUGUAUUUAGUAGUGGAUCGUUAGCGAUCAUUUAAUAUCUCAUUCUUUUGCUUUUCAAUUUUGAUUGUUACUUUGAUGGUUGGAUCAUUUUUGGUUUAUCAAUGAUUUUUUGCAUUUUGUUUUCUACAAGUUUCAGCAUUUUUGCUGCUGUGCUUUUAGCAAUCCGUUUGAGGGUUUCAAUUUGGGCAACUCUUGGUCACACGUUGAACAGUGAUGAAGCAGUCGUUUUCUUUGAAGCAUUUCAUGUGUUUCUUAUCUUCCUCAAUUCGAUUCUGGGUGCCAUAAUUGGUAUACACUUUCAAGCCUUGAACAUCUCGCCACUUGAAACACAUCUUGGCUCGUUUGUGUGGCUUCUGGAAUUCUUUUUGUUGAGCUACUUGUCACGUUAAUCGUUUCUCCCGUUUGGUUAUUAGUGGUUAAUUUAUGUCCAAUCCUGAUCAUUGGUAUACUGCGUCAUUGGUACCAAGGAAUUUAUGAGGGUCUUUACAAAACAGCUGAUAUGGUACUCAAGACAGUACAUAUCUUGUAUAACAAUAUUUAUGGAUUACUUUGUUGGAUGUAUGGGCGGCUCCUACAGAUAUUGCAGUCAGGAGCUUCUGAUGCAAUUUCUUCAAGGGAAGGAGACAUUGGGAUGCAGUUGGCAGUAAUUGAGGGUUAAGUGGCCUGAUAUUGUUAACUACCUACAAAGGAGCUGUUGGAUUAAGUGUUGCAGCUGCAGAUAAUGACUAGAAGAAGAUGGUUGCUAAGAAGAUAAUACCUCAAUUAGGAUUGCUGUUAUUUGAAUUAUAUUAGGAUUGUUGCUAUUAGGAUUGUUGUUUUCAAUAAGUAAUCACUUGAUGAUAGGACUUCCCUUGUUAUCUUGGGAUAGGAUUAGUCGAUUAGUAGGUUGUUGGAGUUGUGCUUAUAAUUUGAAUUUCAAAGAUUAUGUAUUUAAGGAGGAAGUGAAUAAUAAGAGGCAUCAGAUUAAAAUUCCAGAAA